UGUCACAAAAAUGUGGCUUCUGCAGUGAGGGGCUACCAGCCUACUGCGGUGGAAGGAAGAAGACAUUUUAAAAGGACUUGAUAUCAUUUUCUCUUCAUCACACAACCAAGUCAGGCUGUUUCUGAGUGAGAAGCAGGGCUGCCAUAUAGCUGAUGAGCAGGU
rnacentral:lncRNA from 13 species